UCACCUAGCUCAGUCAGUAGAGCAUGAGGCUCUUAAUCUCAGAGUCAUGGGUUUGAGCCCCACACUGGGCAAAA